UCACUGUAGUCACUCUUGACUUCAGCUACCUUCUAUGUGACCCAUACUUGCUGUCUUUUUUAUUCGGCUUCUCUAGUUCUUUUUAGGGGGUGGAGUGGAGAGGGGUUUACAUACAACCGAGGCAAAGUGGUUUAGGAUUGAAUCGCUGAGGCAUUCUUAUCAUUUGAUAUAUCCAAGUCUAUAGCCUAUUUCCGGUUCACUCGAAGCUUCUCAUCUUCAUAGCUCUACUCCAUUCGUUGUUCUGGUCUGGUUCCCUUAUGAUUUGGGUUCGUUGAGCUCUUGUGAGUGAAAUACCUUGGUCAAUUUGAGCGGAACUACCUCGUAUGCAUUGAGUCACCAUUCAAUUCUACAAAGGGGUAUCAGAGCCAUUGAAGCUCGAUUUAGGAGUUGAUUUUCGAAUUUUGGGUGCUGAAAAUUCAGGUUGUCACUGGUUUUUCGGAUUUGUGAUCUAAAAAUUUAUAUUCACGUGUAUUCGGUGCAAUUAAGGCAUUGUUUAUUGAUUUUGCAAAAGGAAUUAAUUUUUAAAAUAAAAUUUGCAUCUUUCAUUGUUACUGACCACAUAUAGGUUCGCUCUAAUAAAUUGGUUGAAACUUUUACAUUACUACAAUAGUAGGUCAUUGUGUAAGGUUACCAAUAGGAUUGUGACCUUGCUUGCUACUAAAAUUUAGGAUUAUUUACCUAAAUUGCGAUAUUAUCAUAUUUGUGGAUAUUUAGAUGUUGUUUAAUAUUUUGCAUUGUUGUUGAGUGCUUUGUGAUAUUAGAAUUGUUAUCUUGACCUUACCCGCUCGACAAUUCCUUUGAGAUUGAGGUUCGAAUCUCACGAAAAUCCUAGGUAUUUAGAC